rnacentral:rRNA from 1 species
UACGAAGGGGGCUAGCGUUGCUCGGAAUCACUGGGCGUAAAGCGCACGUAGGCGGCUUUUAAGUCAGGGGUGAAAUCCUGGAGCUCAACUCCAGAACUGCCUUUGAUACUGAGAAGCUUGAGUCCGGGAGAGGUGAGUGGAACUGCGAGUGUAGAGGUGAAAUUCGUAGAUAUUCGCAAGAACACCAGUGGCGAAGGCGGCUCACUGGCCCGGUACUGACGCUGAGGUGCGAAGCGUGGGAGCAACAGG